CCAUCCUUGCCGCUACAGUACUUUCCGUAAUAUUGGGUUGCUUCUACUCCGCGCAUGUUGAUCCCCAUUGGUGUUUCGUCUUGCCACCACCGCCGGUCAUGCUGUCGCGUCGUCGUCACAAUAGUCGUCGUCGAGAACACGAGGUUUGGGUCGGGCUUUAGGAAGGGUUAUCAGAAGAGCCUUAGGGAGAGAAGUCAGUCGUGAUGCAGAUGAUGCUCCCUGAUCACGUAGGCCCACAACAUCCGCACGUAGGCAACAAAAAGCUGCACCUGUUGCUGAGGAUGUUGAUGAUAUGGAUCAAGUGGAUGAGGAAGUUUAUGAACUGCUUGAAGAAACAGCUGGUGUUGAUGUGCCAAUUGAUGCCAAGGGUUUUCCAGGAGGACCCCAUGACACAUCAGUGUUGCAAGACUAUGUUUAUCAUGUGGCCACGAAAGUUUGGAGUGGAGAGGAACAUCCUGAGCUGAAAUUAUGCUCCCAUGGAAGAAAGGUCAAGAUGUUUGGCAGGCCUACCCCUGAGAUCGAAGGCUUAGUGGCUACCACAAGAUUAAGUCCUCUGAUCACAUGUUCGUUGGACACUGGUGAUCGGGGACUUAUGUCUGCUUUCGUGGAGAGGUGGCAUCUGGAAACUAGUAGUUUUCAUCUGCCAGUUAGAGAGGUGACUAUCACGUUGGAUGAUGUGGCCUCGUUGCUGCAUUUGCCCAUUACAUGCGCGUUCCAUAGUUUUCAGUCUCUUCAUGUGGAUGAUAUCAUCUUGUUGCUAGUGGAAUUGCUUGAACUAAGUGGUGAAAAGGCAUGAGCUGAGACAGUACAAUGCCAUGGGGCAUAUGUUUGACUUUCCUGGUUGUGAGAUGUAUAUCGGAGCAAAUGUGACACAACAUAGUGGACACCUGCAGCUCGUGCAUAUUUGUUGCGCCUUCUUGGUUGCACACUCUUUGCUAACAAGAGUGUGACACACGUUUAUGUCGUAUUCUUGGUCGCAUUGAGGGACCUGACGCAAAGUGUUAGCUACGCAUGGGGAGCUGUUGUACCGGUGCAUAUGUAUGACAAUCUGAAUGAUGCAUCAAAGAGCACGACUAGACAGCUUGCAAGAUACAUCACACUUUUACAGUGUUGGAUCUACGAGCACUUUCCCUCUGUUGGUUGUGUUGUUGCUGCUAAGGAUUAUGAUGAGAGGAAACCACGUGCCUGUUGUUGGAAGUCUGGGAAGGCAUUACUAGUAUCGACAUACUGUAGAUUGUUGGAUAGAUUGACAUCCGAUGCUGUAUCACUGUGCCUUCAGAGAGUUUGAGGUUAUCUCUUUAUUUUUAGGACAUAUCAGAUGAGGUCCAUCUAUUGUCAUACACUGAUUGGAGAGGAUUGUACAACAGUUUGGGUAUAUGCAAACCAUUCCUCCACACCCUGCUACUCUUUCUCUGUGUAUAGAAGACAUUGAUGAUAGAUGGAUUCAAUUUUUUUAAUACAUUGCACCGGUUGGUCAGAUAUGUGUAGCGCCUGGGCAGUGUUCAUUGGACUACAUGGAUUGGUUCUACUCGAUAUCCCAUCCCUUCAUGAGUCCAGCACAGCCUGAGGAUCCUCCUAGAUAGCCCCACGUGCAGCAACAUGACACAUUUGUUGAACCGCAUGUUGCUCAGCAUCCAGUGGCGACAAUGGGUAUGAAUGAAGCAGCUGAAGAUGCACAUGCUAGUGUAGAGCGGCCUCGACAUGCAGUGGAGGCUUGUCAACCAAUAGCCGAAAGGUUGGAGCGGUUGCUCAACCUAAGGAUAAUCAUUGAAGGCACAGAGACAUACGAUGUCAUGGAGGACUACCUGCGGAUCGCUAGAGGUGUCACUGCAGAUGACAAUGUAUAUGUGCGGUUGCGAUGAAGGCGGCACACUAAACAUGCGUGAAAAGUUAUUUUAGUUACCUAGUUUUAUAUAAUUUGUGGUUUUAUAUGAGUAAAGAACGUUAAUUGUUUAAGUUGUAUUUUUAAUUUUUGAUUAAUUACGAAUUAAAUUAUUAUGUUUA